UGGGGAAUAUUGCGCAAUGGGCGAAAGCCUGACGCAGCGACGCCGCGUGAGGGAUGAAGGUCUUCGGAUCGUAAACCUCUGUCAGAAGGGAAGAAACUAGGGUGCUCUAAUCAUCAUCCUACUGACGGUACCUUCAAAGGAAGCACCGGCUAACUCCGUGCCAGCAGCCGCGGUAAUACGGAGGGUGCAAGCGUUAAUCGGAAUCACUGGGCGUAAAGCGCACGUAGGCUGUUAUGUAAGUCAGGGGUGAAAGCCCACGGCUCAACCGUGGAACUGCCCUUGAUACUGCACGACUCGAAUCCGGGAGAGGGUGGCGGAAUUCCAGGUGUAGGAGUGAAAUCCGUAGAUAUCUGGAGGAACAUCAGUGGCGAAGGCGGCCACCUGGACCGGUAUUGACGCUGAGGUGCGAAAGCGUGGGGAGCAAACAG
rnacentral:rRNA from 1 species